UUCAGUGAAAUCGAGUAGGGCGGGACACGUGAUAUCCUGUCUGAAUAUGGGGGGACCAUCCUCCAAGGCUAAAUACUACUGACUGACCGAUAGUGAACCAGUACCGUGAGGGAAAGGCGAAAAGAACCCCUGUGAGGGGAGUGAAAUAGAACCUGAAACCGUGUACGUACAAGCAGUAGGAGCAGGCUUUGUCCUGUGACUGCGUACCUUUUGUAUAAUGGGUCAGCGACUUAUAUUCAGUGGCAAGGUUAACCAUCUAGGGGAGCCGUAGGGAAACCGAGUCUUAACUGGGCGUUCAGUCUCUGGAUAUAGACCCGAAACCAGGUGAUCUAGCCAUGGGCAGGUUGAAGGUUGAGUAACAUCAACUGGAGGACCGAACCGACUAAUGUUGAAAAAUUAGCGGAUGACUUGUGGCUAGGGGUGAAAGGCCAAUCAAACCUGGAGAUAGCUGGUUCUCCCCGAAAGCUAUUUAGGUAGCGCCUCGGACGAAUACUACUGGGGGUAGAGCACUGUUAAGGCUAGGGGGUCAUCCCGACUUACCAACCCUUUGCAAACUCCGAAUACCAGUAAGUACUAUCCGGGAGACACACGGCGGGUGCUAACGUCCGUCGUGGAGAGGGAAACAACCCAGACCGCCAGCUAAGGUCCCAAAUUACUACUAAGUGGGAAACGAUGUGGGAAGGCUCAGACAGCCAGGAUGUUGGCUUAGAAGCAGCCAUCAUUUAAAGAAAGCGUAAUAGCUCACUGGUCGAGUCGGCCUGCGCGGAAGAUGUAACGGGGCUAAGUAGUAAACCGAAGCUGCGGCAAUGUGCUUUUGCAC
rnacentral:rRNA from 1 species